rnacentral:rRNA from 1 species
GUGCACGCUGGCGGUAGGCCUAACCCCUGCAAGUCGAACGGCAGCACAGUAAGAGCUUGCUCUUACGGGUGGCGAGUGGCGGACGGGUGAGGAGUACAUCGGAAUCUACUUUUUCGUGGGGGAUAACGUAGGGAAACUUACGCUAAUACCGCAUACGACCUACGGGUGAAAGCAGGGGAUCUUCGGACCUUGCGCGAUUGAAUGAGCCGAUGUCGGAUUAGCUAGUUGGCGGGGUAAAGGCCCACCAAGGCGACGAUCCGUAGCUGGUCUGAGAGGAUGAUCAGCCACACUGGAACUGAGACACGGUCCAGACUCCUACGGGAGGCAGCAGUGGGGAAUAUUGGACAAUGGGCGCAAGCCUGAUCCAGCCAUACCGCGUGGGUGAAGAAGGCCUUCGGGUUGUAAAGCCCUUUUGUUGGGAAAGAAAAGCAGCAGGUUAAUACCCCGCUGUUCUGACGGUACCCAAAGAAUAAGCACCGGCUAACUUCGUG